UACAGAGGGGGCAAGCGUUAUUCGGAAUUAUUGGGCGUAAAGGGCGCGUAGGCGGCCUGACAAGUGGAAGGUGAAAUCCCUCGGCUUAACCGAGGAACUGCCCUCCAAACUGUCUGGCUUGAGACCGGGAGAGGUGAGUGGAAUUCCCAGUGUAGCGGUGAAAUGCGUAGAUAUUGGGAGGAACACCAGUGGCGAAGGCGAGUCCCUGGACAUCUCCUGACACUGAGGCACGAAAGCUAGGGGAGCAAACAGG
rnacentral:rRNA from 1 species